UACGAAGGGGGCUAGCGUUGCUCGGAAUCACUGGGCGUAAAGGGCGCGUAGGCGGGUCUUUAAGUCAGGGGUGAAAUCCUGGAGCUCAACUCCAGAACUGCCUUUGAUACUGAAGAUCUUGAGUUCGGGAGAGGUGAGUGGAACUGCGAGUGUAGAGGUGAAAUUCGUAGAUAUUCGCAAGAACACCAGUGGCGAAGGCGGCUCACUGGCCCCGAUACUGACGCUGAGGCACGAAAGCGUGGGGAGCAAACAGGG
rnacentral:rRNA from 1 species